GGGGCGGGCUGCGCUCCGCUGGGCGCUUCCCUGAGGCCUCCGGAGCUCGCCGGGGCGCUGGUGCUGUGCGGGGGGCUCCAGGCUCGGGCAGGGCUCAGCGCCGCGGCGGGCAGGCAGCGGGGAGCGCGGAGCCCCUCGGAACCGGAGCCGCCGCGUCUCCAUCUCCUUCAUUUUCGUGUCUCGGCGGUUUCCGUGCUGCAGGGACGCGGUGCUGGCGCUGGUGCGCGGCGAUGUAGUCGGAUCCAGACAACUUGUAUUUCUCCUUUACAAAACUGCUGUCCGAGAAUGAAACAAGGCGUGGAAAUAUUUUAGGAAGCAACACGUGGAAUUUUUUUUUCCCGGAGUUGGAAUUUCUCUGGAAUGCUCACUGUGACGCUGCCCCAUUCACUGCCCUUCAACUCCAGGCAUUGAAGAGGAGGAGCUCAGAGGGACAAAAAAGCUUUGCCUUUUGCUCCCCUCUGCUGCAGCCAGGAUCCUGCGGGACCAGGUCCUUUGUGUGUGGCUUCUCCCCUGCUGCUCGCUCCGAGUGCUGGGGAGUUCUGGCCACUGCUCUGGGGAUUUUAGCACUUACUUGUAGCUCCACUGAGCCUCCUGUAUAGUGUGAGUUUCCUCUGUUGCUCUAUAAGAAGACAAGCCAUAUAAAUAUGAGGCUUGUACAACCCUGCCCUGCAUAAUUGGUGGUGAGACCAGUGGUGGCACAGUUCUCAGCUUAUCUGAGCACAUAUGACAUCCACAGUGGUAGCAAAAUCUUGUAUGUUCUCAUGAAAUCUAGUGUAUUUCCUUGUCUCCUUCCAAGUGCUAUUUGUAAUACUGGCCUUAAUGUAUGUCUCAACACCAUUCAGUUCUUUCAUGCUGCUCUCAGGCCCUGACCAGCUUCAUCCCACCUCUCCCCAAAGAAAUCCUGCUCCCGGCCCUGCUGCACGGAGGUCUUCAAAGAGGGAGGGGAGAGCAAAAUAAAGCAGGACCAUCGAGCACCAUCAGUCUCGUGAUGCCCUUCCUCACAGCAGCCGCUUCUCUCUGGUGUUGCAUCAUUUCUAAAAAUAGAACUUCAGGUCUCUUGGGAAGUGGCACUUGUCUUUUGUUCUGCAAAGCACCCCUCGUGCACAGAGUCUUGCUUAAAGAAAGCCAUGUAUGAAGAAGACGACUUGAAUGGGGUUUGAGAUGAUUUAGUUCCUUGUCCUCCCAUUUAGUCCUGCUUUGCAGCAGUGGUAAUGGAUUUCAGAAGGCCACAGUGACAUUGCCCAUUGUUUUUCAGAGCUAAAAGAAAAGGUGAAAGGAGAUCAUAGGAGAGUGAGUCACCAUUAGGCUGCUCGAGGAGGGAUUUGGACAAAAGCGGGUUGUUUUCUCUAGUCACAGGUGCUUCUUGCCUCCUGGUAGCUUAAAUAAAUAGAAAAAACAAUAGUAAGAGGAAUUAAAUGCAGGGAAAACAGGCAAGAUCGACUGACUGGAACAGUCUUUUGAUGAUAAGGAAAACCAUACAGGUAGGAGUGGAAUGUCCAGCUCAAAGGAGGAUCUGAGUUGCAGUCACAAUUUAAAACAGCAUACUGGUUGCUUUCUUGGGUCAGAUGGAGCUCUUUCAGUGCCUGUGAUUCCAGAACUGACUAACUAAGACUCUUCAGAAGGAGUAAAGUACUAAAAGGUUCUAUGAAACUCUAGAUGACGUUUGAUCUUUCAGAGUAUUGAAGCAGAGAGAAAACUACGAUCUAUGGGAGCCCAGUCUACAAGGAGAUGGUAGGAGACUUCAUGGCCUGUGUUUUGUGGAAGCUCUGCCUCAGGUUGGGUUAUGGCUGUUACUUUCUCAACUGGGAACUCAGGUAAAGGUUUGGCUUCAGCUUUCCAUCCUCAGCACGUGAUACUGUUCUUCACCUUCCAGACAAUGGCAAUAAAACAAAACAAUCUGUUUGUGUCUGCGCUCGGGUACUGGAAUGUGAAGUAACGUGACAAAAGGCAGAGAAGGGGGAUCAGAAUCAGGAGUGAAAAGCAUGGCUGCAGUCUGAGCUUUGCUCGCCUGGGUGUUGUCACGCCUGGAGCAGAGCGUCCAUCACCUCUGUGUCACAAUCCAGUGUAUUCACCCCACGGAGCGGCUCCGGGUGGGACUGAUGCCCCCCAUUAACGGCAAAUCCAUCCCUGAAGCAUCCACAAAGGUCCUUUUUGUGGCAUUUCUUCCCCACCGAUGUGCUGUGGAGAAGCAGUUGACAAAUGGCAGCGGGUGUAACACUGAUGGGAACAGGCUCUGACACUGGUUUGUGGGAGCCUGAGAACUCCCUGGUGUUACCGAGAACUCCCCCUUCUCCUCUAUUGGAAAGAACUUGAAGAAACCACUUACAUCAUUAAUGGUAUAUCCUCUUAUUUAUGUAUUAUAUGUUUGAGGUGCUGCCUCAUGUCCUUAGCUCGUUGAAGGACACAAGUAAACCUUCUCUGCAAUCAUU